UCCGGUUUGUCACCGGCAGUCUCACAUGAGUCCCCAACUGAAUGCUGGCAACAUGCGACGGGGGUUGCGCUCGUUGCGGGACUUAACCCAACAUCUCACGACACGAGCUGACGACAGCCAUGCAGCACCUGUGGUGCACCCUCGAGGGUCACACGUUUCCACGGCGGUCAGGAACAUGUCAAACCCAGGUAAGGUUCUUCGCGUUGCGUCGAAUUAAACCACAUGCUCCACCGCUUGUGCGGGCCCCCGUCAAUUCCUUUGAGUUUCAGCCUUGCGGCCGUACUCCCCAGGCGGGGCACUUAAUGCGUUAGCGCCGGCACCCAGGGGGUCGCUCCCCCAGGCACCUAGUGCCCAUCGUUUACGGCGUGGACUAC
rnacentral:misc_RNA from 1 species